AAUAAACAAUUCUCAUUAUUAAUUCAUUAUCAUCAAACUUACGAUAUUUACGGAUUCAACUUUUAACGAAUUUACUUUUUUGACGGAAAAAUUAUAAGUUUACGUUUUUGGCGGGAAAAUUACGGAUUUACGUUUUUGGCGAGAAAAUUACGGGUUUACAUUUUUGGCGGGAAAAUUAUGGAUUUACAUUUUUGGUGAGAAAAUCACGGGUUUACGUUUUUGGCGGGAAAAUCACGGGUUUAUGUUUUUUGGUGGAAAAAUUACGAGUUUACUUUUUCUCAAUUUAUAUUUAAGAAAUUUGGAAAAAUAUUAAUUUUAUUAAAUUGGUUUAGAUGUGUUGGUUAAACUUAAAUUAACAUUGGUUUAGAGAUUUUAGUUGA
rnacentral:sRNA from 1 species